rnacentral:misc_RNA from 1 species
CCAGAAGAGAUGGCAGAAUUACUUGGAUGUCCCUUACCUCCACGAAAGCUGAAGCCAGGUAGAUUUUGGUAUGAUAAGGAAUCUGGUUUCUGGGGAAAGGAGGGGGAAAAGCCAGAUAAACUCAUCAGUUCAAACUUAAGUUUUACUGGGAAACUCAUGCCAGAUGCAAGCAAUGGAAGCACUGAAGUUUAUAUUAAUGGCCGGGAAAUAACCAAACUUGAACUGAGGGUGUUAAAACUAGCAAAUGUGCAGUGUCCACGUGAUACUCAUUUUUGGGUAUAUGACGAUGGUCGUUAUGAAGAGGAAGGCCAGAAUAAUAUCAGGGGAAACAUUUGGGAGAAGGCAUCAACGCGGUUGGUUUGUGCUCUUUUCUCUUUGCCCGUCCCCCAUGGUCAACCACUUGCACAGAGAGAUGAGGCUAGUAAUUAUACUA